rnacentral:SRP_RNA from 1 species
GCCAGCCGUGGGACACAUGUUUGCAGUCCCAGCUACUCAGGAGGCUGAGACAGGAGCAUCCCCUGAGCCCCGGAGUUCUGAGCUGUUGUGUGUUAUGCCCAUCGGGUAUCUGCACUAAGUUCAGCAACAAUAUGGUGACCUCCUGGGAGCAGGGGACCACCAGGUUGCCUAAGGAGGGGUGAACUGACCCAAAUCAGAAACAGAGCAGGUCAAAACUUCCAUGAUGAUCAGUAGUAGGACAGUGCCUAUGAAUAACCACUGCACUCCAGCUAGGGCAACACAGCAAGACACUAUCUCU